rnacentral:rRNA from 1 species
GNUGACGCUGGCGGCGUGCUUAACACAUGCAAGUCGAACGAAGUCUUCGGACUUAGUGGCGGACGGGUGAGUAACGCGUGAGGAUCUGCCCUUAGGAGGGGGACAACUUUUGGAAACGGAAGCUAAUACCCCAUAUGUCGAGAGAUGAAACUAUUUGGCCUGAGGAUGAACUCGCGUCUGAUUAGCUAGUUGGUGAGGUAAGGGCUUACCAAGGCGACGAUCAGUAGCUGUUCUGAGAGGAAGAUCAGCCACACUGGGACUGAGACACGGCCCAGACUCCUACGGGAGGCAGCAGUGGGGAAUUUUCCGCAAUGGGCGCAAGCCUGACGGAGCAACGCCGCGUGAGGGAGGAAUGUCUGUGGAUUGUAAACCUCUUUUCUCUGUGAAGAAGAUCUGACGGUAGCAGAGGAAUCAGCAUCGGCUAACUCCGCGCCAGCAGCCGCGGUAAG